rnacentral:rRNA from 1 species
UACGUAGGGUGCGAGCGUUAAUCGGAAUUACUGGGCGUAAAGCGUGCGCAGGCGGUUCGUUAAGUCAGAUGUGAAAGCCCCGGGCUCAACCUGGGAACUGCAUUUGAAACUGGCGGGCUUGAGUGUGGCAGAGGGGGGUGGAAUUCCGCGUGUAGCAGUGAAAUGCGUAGAUAUCGAGAGGAACACCUGCGGCGAAGGCGGGUUGCUGGGCUGAUACUGACGCUGAGGCGCGAAAGCCAGGGGAGCGAACGGG